GAUGAACGCUAGCGGCAGGCUUAAUACAUGCAAGUCGAGGGGCAGCAGCUUUAUAGCAAUAUAGAGGCUGGCGACCGGCAAACGGGUGCGGAACACGUACACAACCUUCCUUUAAGAGGGGGAUAGCCCAUAGAAAUGUGGAUUAAUACCCCGUAACAUAUCGGUGUGGCAUCACACUGUUAUUAUAGUUUCGACGCUUGAAGAUGGGUGUGCGGCUGAUUAGGUAGUUGGCGGGGUAAAGGCCCACCAAGCCUUCGAUCAGUAGCUGAUGUGAGAGCAUGAUCAGCCACACGGGCACUGAGACACGGGCCCGACUCCUACGGGAGGCAGCAGUAAGGAAUAUUGGUCAAUGGACGCAAGUCUGAACCAGCCAUGCCGCGUGAAGGAUGAAGGUCCUCUGGAUUGUAAACUUCUUUUAUAGGGGGCGAAAAAAGGGUAUUCUUUCUCACUUGACAGUACCCUAUGAAUAAGCACCGGCUAACUCCGUGCCAGCAGCCGCGGUAA
rnacentral:rRNA from 1 species